rnacentral:tRNA from 1 species
GCCGGAAUGAUGGAAUUGGCAGACGUGCUGGACUCAAAAUCCAGUCUUGGCAACAAGGUGCGGGUUCAAAUCCCGCUUCCGGCACCA